GCGGUAACACUGACCGUGAUAAUGUAGCGUAAUCAAUAGCCAAUUAAUUGUUGGCCAGUAUGAAUGGCGCCACGAAGGCCCCACUGUCUUAAGGAAAUUCCCAGUGAAAUUGAAUUCGUAGUGAAGAUGCUACGUCCAAUUUGUUAGACGAAAAGACCCCGUUGAGCUUUACUGGGGCACUUACACGGCCCCGGCCUUCCAAACUAGGCUUACGAUGCCUAGGGAUUGGCCGAAUUUAAAUGGGCGGUUUAGACUAUGUGGCAGCCCCCCGUCGGGGCAGAUGAAACCCCACUCCCCCAUGUCAAAGGGGCUAACCCCCCCCUUGGGGGGGACAGUGUAAGUAGGACAGUUUGGUUGGGGCGACCGCCUUUUAAAGAGUAACGAAGGUGCGCUUAAGGUGCGCAAAUAAUGACUGAAGCCUGACUGCGAGGGGGACACCCCGAGCAGACACCCCCAAGCCCSCCCGAAGGGCGGCGGCGGGGUGGGCCAUAGUGACCCGU
rnacentral:rRNA from 1 species